rnacentral:precursor_RNA from 12 species
GUGCUUUUAAUGAGUGUGGUGCUUUGGUGCCAGAACUCUGGCUGUGACAUUGUGCAGUAUAUAGGUCACAUCACAGACAGAGUUCUAGUUACCCGUGCAUCCUGUGCUGCACAACUAACA